UCUUAGUCCAAUAUGGUUAUAUGGGGAACCUGUGUGUACCAUCGUGAUUACACUGCGAUCAGUUUCUUGGCGACGACGGAUAUUCCAGGAAAUAAAUGCGCUCAGGAAUGGACAAUGUUUUAAACGAAACCGGUGCUACAUAGAUUUUCAAAUGGAAUAAGCAUAGACUUCGGGAUUCAUAUUCAAGACAUGGGAUAGCUCGCUACAAUUGCAUAGCGGUCUUAGCGUAGUAUUGUUAGCCUAGUUUUGACGGGACUUUAGCGGAAACAUAUAGUCGUGACAAGGAAUAAUUGUACUUGGAGGCUAUGCAUCUUGCUGUUAUCUAGAAAUGGUAGAAUUAUCUGCGUUCGUCGCUAGUGUUUGUGUAGUGUGUUUGUGAAAUCAAUUACACGCGCUGUUCCGUGUUUUUUGCCUGUGACAUUGACUUUGGUUGUUAAGUAAAAAUAGUGGAACUGACUCAGAUAGGACAUCAAACUAGCAUAAGGAUCUACCUGAUUACGGUCGUGAUGACGUACAUGUAUCAUGUUAUUUAGAAAUGGAAUAAUUCUGCGUUCGUUGUAAGUGGCUGUGUAGUGCAUUAAUGAAAUCAAUUACACGCGCUGUACCGUGUUUUUUGCCUUAGGUAGGUAAGCAGAAAUAGUAGAACGGCGGACUAAUACGGAACAUCCGAACUGGUGUUUGGAUCUCCCUGUUUAUCUUCGUGAUGACAUCAUUAGACUACUUGCUCUUUAUCAGUAACUCUGCCGGGCUAAUGUGACCAGAUCUCUGUGACGAUUCGUUGCAAUUACCGCGCACGCGAAACGGGAAUAUCCGACUAAAAGUAGCCUCCUCUGUUACAGUUUCCAGUGAGUGACCGAGUGGAUAACGCGGAUUAUUUUAAAAGUCUGAAUACUUUGCUAUUUUGAGUUAAGGUGUCAUAGACAGACUUUCAAACAGCUUGCAAGUCAGUAUAACUCUGUUAGUGACUCAUAAGAGCUAAGAGAACGUGGUCAUUUCCAAGUAUAUGCAGGCUACCAGGACUGAUAAAAUUUAACUGAAUUCUGAUAAAGAAUGAUAUAAAAUUUAACUUUUUGCCUUUGUCAAUCCUUAAGGUGAUAACUUAUUACAGAAUGGGCUGGUUUUAGUUGUUAUCACUACAAGGACCUAUUCAAUAGUGUAUUGUUUCAAGAAAAGAGUGUAUCAUAAGAAGGAUUUUUAAAAAUCGGGAUAGGAAGUUCAUCGUAUUACUGGUAGGAAGAGGACAUAUAUGAAAAAAAAUGAAUCGCUCGGGAGUGUCCUGCAUAUAUGAGUAAAACGAACCUCAAGUAUCGUUUUAUAUAAUCAAAUGCAGAAACAGGAAUUUGAUUAUAACGCAGGAAACAUAAAGUUGAUAUCCACCUCUGUUAAAUAGAUUUGAAUCUGACGGUAACAGUGAAAUAUACAAUUUGCUAUAGUGGAUAGUUGAUCAUAUUCUGUAAAGAUAGGAGAAUUUUACUGUUGUUUUAUCCGUGCUGUAAUGUUAAGUAAUUUUGGACCAUUUGUGUACUAACUGUUUUUAUAGGGUAUAUCAGUGUUGUGAAUGAAUAGCGUGACAGUAUUCAAAGGAGGAAUGUAUUAUAUACAUCUACAACGCAAGUUUCGGUGAUACGGAUAAUAUAUAGGAUAAUAGAAUAGUUUUCGCUUAUCGUCGGGCAAAAUCCGUUGCUUGAAUUAACUGUUUUAUUAUAUAUAACAAUGUAUCGUCAGAUUGGGCCUGCAGAUUGAACCGGAUUUUCGUGCAAAGUGUACGCGUUGAAAAGGACUGGCUCCAAUUCUGAGCCCUGUGGGACACCAGCAUUUUUGUUAACAGCCGUUACGCAGCUGGAUCAAUACGUGUGUAAACAGUCAAGACAUUGUUUACGAAUUAGGAAACGGUUUGGAAGUCCUAUACUGGCGUGAUUUUCAGGUAGUCAUGACGAUGGCAGACAUAAGGCUCUUGGUUAAGCUAAUUCUCGUGGUGACGUUUUGAACUUUCACCGGAGAUGAAGAACCAUUGAAGACAGAUAUAUUGCAGAGCUAUACUCAGGGCAGGCGAUGUAAUGCUUCCAUUGUGGACGUGUCGCCAUGAUAUCUACAAUUUUAGUACGGCUUCUUGUAGGUUGUUAGAAGAAUACCUUAUGGAAUCGUGGAGCAUUAUAACGACACAAAUUAGGAGGGACUGUACCUGAGGGGCCUUCCUGCUAUCGACCGCGCCUUCGGAAACUACUUUGGUGAUAUAUAUCUCCAUUAAACAAUGGUUAUGUGACUGAUUAUAUCGCCUACAACUCAGUCACGUUUUGAUAAUUAGUUUCCCUGUUGCAUCAAGUUAGGCAUUUAACCGCUCAAUAUGUUGGUGUUUUAGACAUCAGGUCCGUUACUAAGCACAACUGGGUUCGUUGUGGGUCAAAACGAGAGAGACGACAUUCUUGCAUAAUAUCAAGUUGAGCCAAGCGGUGAAGUGGUGCCAGUGACGUAUUGAUAGCAGCACAAACUGGUCGAAUUUCGCAAAAGGUUCAAGAGGACAGCAGUGCUAGAAACACGUGGGACUUCUCACUGAAUUUGUUUUUAAAACUCCAUUUCAAAUGCUUGGUCGUGUGACGUAACUUAUGUAUUGAAUGGAUUGACACAGAUUUGGGCGUACUCAUUUUCAGUUCAGUUACUAUGACCGUGUUGAAAUAUGGUAUGUUAAAAUCGUGGAAAGAACAGAAGUAUUGCAUCAUCUGGUUGAUAACAUUAUUUGUAUGGGGCAUCGCUGCGGUAAUUGAUCAUUGACCUGGCUGCGGACCAUCAAUGACAUGUGCAUCA